rnacentral:rRNA from 1 species
GGGCCCGCACAAGCGGUGGAGCAUGUGGUUCAAUUCGACGCAACGCGAAGAACCUUACCCAGGCUUGAACCGCCGGUGACAUCCCUGGAAACAGGGCUUUCCUUCGGGACGCCGGUAGAGGUGCUGCAUGGCUGUCGUCAGCUCGUGUCGUGAGAUGUUGGGUUAAGUCCCGCAACGAGCGCAACCCUUGCCCUUAGUUACCAUCGGGUCAUGCCGGGGACUCUAAGGGGACUGCCCCGGAAAACGGGGAGGAAGGUGGGGAUGACGUCAAGUCCUCAUGGCCUUUAUGUCUGGGGCUACACACGUGCUACAAUGGACGGUACAAAGGGUCGCAAUGCCGCGAGGCUGAGCCAAUCCCAAAAAACCGUCCCCAGUUCGGAUUGGAGUCUGCAACUCGACUCCAUGAAGUUGGAAUCGCUAGUAAUCGCGGAUCAGCACGCCGCGGUGAAUACGUUCCCGGGCCUU